GGAACUGAAGGAUGGGCUCGCCAUUACAUUUUCCUUUGUAAGAAGAGGAGGGUGACACUUAGGAGAAAGAAAAUCCUCCUGUAUCACUUUGGUACAGUGGAAAGGAGACUCAUUUUGGAGAAGGAAGGCAAAAUUUCCAAUUCUGACUCAGCUGGGAAAGAUUGUAAGCCCGUCUCACACCUGCUUCCCUUCUACUCCCUGUCUGCCCGGCUGCAUUGCAAACAAACUGAAGUUGAAUAUGGGGUUUUGAGAUUCCUUAGCCCUGACAGAUGCAACACAUACCUUGAACUGUGCAGCGGUGAGAGUGGCGCCACCAAGCCCCUUUCCUGGGAACUACACACAGCAUUUCAGCCUCAAGCCACAAAGCUUUGAACUGUUGUCUUUGCAGAUGUAAUCAAGUGAAUAUGGGGUCACUAGGGUGGGCCCUAAUCCAUUAUGACUGCUGUCCUUCUAAGAGAAGAGACGUAAAGACAUCUAAGGAGAAAACCAUGUGACUACCCAGGCAGGGAUUGGACUCAUGAACGAUAAGCCAAGAAACACCAAGGAUUGUUGGAAAUACCAGAAGCUAAGAGAAAGGCAUGGAAAAGAUUCUCCCUUAGAGCCUUCAGAGAGAGCAUGGCCCUGAAGACACCUUGAUUUCAGAC